GACGAACGCUGGCGGCGUGCCUAACACAUGCAAGUCGAACGGGGUUGCCCUUCGGGCAACUUAGUGGCGAACGGGUGAGUAACGCGUGAGGAACCUGCCUUCCAGUGGGGGACAACAGUUGGAAACGACUGCUAAUACCGCAUAACACAACGAGACCGCAUGAUCUUGUUGUCAAAGCUUUAUGUGCUGGAAGAUGGCCUCGCGUCUGAUUAGCUAGUUGGUGGGGUAACGGCCUACCAAGGCGACGAUGCGUAGCCGACCUGAGAGGGUGGACGGCCACACUGGGACUGAGACACGGCCCAG
rnacentral:rRNA from 1 species